GUUGACAGUGCAUGUAAGUCGCUCUGGAUAAGAGCGUCUGCUAAAUGACGUAAA
rfam:Salmo salar isolate Sally breed double haploid chromosome ssa28, whole genome shotgun sequence.